rnacentral:rRNA from 1 species
GUCGAGAAUCUUUCACAAUGGGGGCAACCCUGAUGGAGCGACGCCGCGUGGAGGAUAAGGUCUUCGGAUUGUAAACUCCUGUCAUGCGUGAACAAGGUUGCUUGGUUAAUACCUGGGCAAAUUGAUGGUAACGCAAGAGGAAGAGACGGCUAACUCUGUGCCAGCAGCCGCGGUAAUACAGAGGUCUCAAGCGUUGUUCGGAAUCACUGGGCGUAAAGGGUGCGUAGGUGGCGUGGUAAGUCAGAUGUGAAAGCCCGAGGCUCAACCUCGGAACUGCAUCCGAUACUGCCAUGCUAGAGUACUGGAGAGGUGACUAGAAUUCUCGGUGUAGCAGUGAAAUGCGUAGAUAUCGAGAGGAAUACCAAAGGCGUAGGCAGGUCACUGGACAGUUACUGACACUGAGGCACGAAGGCCAGGGGAGCGAACGGGAUUAGAAACCCGGGUAGUCC